UAAAACCAGCACCUCAAGUGGUCAGGAUGAUUAUUGGGCCUAAAGCAUCCGUAGCCUGUUUUGUAAGUCUCCGGUUAAAUCCAUCAACUCAAGUGAUGGGCUGCCGAAGAUACUGCAUAACUAGGGAAUGGGAGAGGUAGACGGUACUCGAUAGGAAGGGGUAAAAUCCUCUGAUCUAUUGAUGACCACCUGUGGCGAAGGCGGUCUACCAGAACAUGUUCGACGGUGAGGGAUGAAAGCUGGGGGAGCAAACCGGAUUAGAUACCCGGGUAGUCCCAGCUGUAAACGAUGCAGACUCGGUGAUGCGUUGGCUUGUUGCUAGCGCAGUGCCGCAGGGAAGCCGUUAAGUUUGCCGCCUGGGAAGUACGUACGCAAGUAUG
rnacentral:rRNA from 2 species